GUAGUCCACGCCGUAAACGAUGAAUGCUAGGUGUUAGGGGUUUCGAUACCCUUGGUGCCGAAGUUAACACAUUAAGCAUUCCGCCUGGGGAGUACGGCCGCAAGGCUGAAACUCAAAGGAAUUGACGGGGACCCGCACAAGCAGUGGAGUAUGUGGUUUAAUUCGAAGCAACGCGAAGAACCUUACCAGGUCUUGACAUCCCCCUGACCGGUGCAGAGAUGUACCUUUCCUUCGGGACAGGGGAGACAGGUGGUGCAUGGUUGUCGUCAGCUCGUGUCGUGAGAUGUUGGGUUAAGUCCCGCAACGAGCGCAACCCUUGACUUUAGUUGCCAGCAGGUAAGGCUGGGCACUCUAGAGUGACUGCCGGUGACAAACCGGA
rnacentral:rRNA from 1 species